rnacentral:rRNA from 1 species
UACGAAGGGGGCUAGCGUUGCUCGGAAUCACUGGGCGUAAAGGGUGCGUAGGCGGGUCUUUAAGUCAGGGGUGAAAUCCUGGAGCUCAACUCCAGAACUGCCUUUGAUACUGAAGAUCUUGAGUUCGGGAGAGGUGAGUGGAACUGCGAGUGUAGAGGUGAAAUUCGUAGAUAUUCGGAAGAACACCAGUGGCGAAGGCGACUUACUGGC